rnacentral:rRNA from 1 species
AGAGUUUGAUCCUGGCUCAGAAUGAACGCUGGCGGCGUGCUUAACACAUGCAAGUCGAACGAUGAAGCCUAGCUUGCUAGGUGGAUUAGUGGCGCACGGGUGAGUAAUAUAUAGUCAACCUGCCUCUUAGACCGGGAUAGCCAUUGGAAACGAUGAUUAAUACUGGAUACUCCUACUAAACAUAAGCUUAGUAGGGAAAUGUUUUUUCGCUAAGAGAUGGGACUAUAUCGCAUCAGUUAGUUGGUGGGGUAAUGGCCUACCAAGACAAUGACGCGUAGCGGGUUUGAGAGGAUGAUCCGCCACACUGGUACUGAGACACGGACCAGACCCCUACGGGAGGCAGCAGUGAGGAAUAUUGCACAAUGGGGGGAACCCUGAUGCAGCAACGCCGCGUGGAGGAUGACGCAUUUCGGUGUGUAAACUCCUUUUAUAUGUCAAGAAAAUGACGGUAGCAUAUGAAUAAGCACCGGCUAACUCCGUGCCAGCAGCCGCGGUAAUACGGAGGGUGCAAGCGUUAUUCGGAAUCACUGGGCGUAAAGGACGCGUAGGCGGGAUAGCAAGUCUGAUGUGAAAUCCUAUGGCUUAACCAUAGAACUGCAUUGGAAACUGCUAACCUAGAGUAUGGGAGGGGGAGAUGGAAUUAGUGGUGUAGGGGUAAAAUCCGUAGAUAUCACUAGGAAUACCGAAAGCGAAGGCGAUCUCCUGGAAC